UACGUAGGGUGCGAGCGUUGUCCGGAAUCAUUGGGCGUAAAGAGCGUGUAGGCGGCUCGAUAAGUCCGUUCUGAAAGUCCAGGGCUCAACCCUGGGAUGCGGAUGGAUACUGUCGGGCUCGAGUCCGGAAGAGGCGAGUGGAAUUCCCGGUGUAGCGGUGAAAUGCGCAGAUAUCGGGAGGAACACCAAUGGCGAAGGCAGCUCGCUGGGACGUGACUGACGCUGAGACGCGAAAGCGUGGGGAGCAAACAGG
rnacentral:rRNA from 1 species